AUUGAACGCUGGCGGCAGGCCUAACACAUGCAAGUCGAGCGAGCGGCGGACAGGGGAGUCAAGUAUGGGGGAUGCGCGAUAGAGGGGGGUAACACCUGGAAACGGGAGCUAAAACAGCAUACUAUCGGAUAACGCAUAUGGGGUUAGCGAGUAGGUGAGGUAAAGGCUCACAUAGGCGACGAUCCCUAGCUGGUCUGAGAGGAUGAUCAGCCACACUUGGACUGAGACACGGUCCAGACGCCUACGGAGGCAGCAGUGGGGAAUAUUGCACAAUGGGCGCAAGCCUGAUGCAACCAUGCCGCGUGUAUGAAGAAGGCCCUAGGGUUGUAAAGUACUUUCAGUCGGGAGGCGUUACCGACAGAAGAAGCACCGGCUAACUCCGUGCCAGCAGCCGCGGUAAUAC
rnacentral:rRNA from 1 species